GGCGCACACGGCGUUGCACGGCUCGCCGGGUACGUGGUCUGCAAAGGAGGGUGGGUGUGUGGGUAAGCUAGGGAGGCGAGGCGGGGAGCUUUAGGGGAGGGGCGGCGCAAGGUACCGGCGCGCGGGGCGGAGGAGGCGGGUGUGUGAGACCACUGGCCGCGGCGUGCCUGGCGCUGUGGGCGGCGGCCGGAGAGACCAGAAUUUUCGUUAGUCUCUACCCGCAUCAGUCGUGCCACGAACCAGAGAAACCUAAACCUAAACCUAAGAGAAGACCAUAACGAUAACCCAUGAUGAAGAAGUAGAUGAAGGUCGGUUGCUUACAGUUCCUACAGCUUCAAGCGGGUGAACACCUUAUACUGAGUUUAAGAAACCUACCUUAGGAAGGACUUUAAGGAUACACCCAGUUCUUAGGGCUGAUACUAUCUUAACUAACCGAGUUGUCCAAAGACCUUAACUACACCGGGUUAGAAUUAUUCCGAUAGACGUCUUACCGCGUCCUAUAACGUUUCGGUUAAUAACGACUCUUGACACUCUUCAUGUUCUAUCUAAGCCAACUCAAGCUUUGUGAAUGAGACCCAUGGAAUGGUGGGUGGAAAGUUCCUUACUUUCAGAUACAGUGGCUACUCUUUCUCAACUAUUACCUUGGUAGAGAUUUCACCCGACGUUUAGGGUUAUAAUGACAACAACGUUUCCGGAUGCCCAACUUUCGUUGGCAGGUUUAACACCUAGACGUUCAGAAACGUAGUGGAGCAUAAUGAGACUUCGGCAACCACGGAUGUAAAGGAACGAAGCGAUUAUAAUCACAGAGAGAGUACCUCUUCGGUGUACAACUAAAACCCGAGUUUGAUAAGCCUCGUCUAAAUUACCGAUAAGGACAAGAAAUGUUUAAGCAAGUCCUGUGGUAGUUCUUCGUUCAACGCUUGUACAUAGACACCGGUUUCUGUGAUCUUCAGGGAUAUUACCUACGGAGUUUUCGUAGUUUCUUCGGACAACCUUAAGAUGAAGACUUCCAACAUUCUCGAGUUUUAGACUUUUUCUUCCUAGACGACCCAUUUAGUCUAGGUAUACGCUUUGAAUUCUACUGUCUACUGUUCGAAGGUAGGUUCUUUUGUAGUCAUUUUGCGUCGUUAGAGUUAGGACUCACCUUACUUCUUAAGUUUAAACAGCACUGUCUAGGUCUUUUGGUCAGCGACCUUUAAUUACAGAAACUGACCCUUGUCCAACCAUUUGUACUUUUCUACCCGUACUUGUCCUAAGACAACUUUCUUGAAGGGGGUCUCCUCUGAUUUCACGACUGAGAAUUGAAUGACUUCUGGUACCUAGGUUUACUAUAUGUUUUACUCUUCAGAGCACCAGUCUAAUAAAACCUCCGCUGUAUAUUCGGAAAGUUCCUUCUUCUAUACCUCUUUCUUUCGCACCUACCACAACUACUUCACGUCUUUCGAGGUCUGUUGUGAGGUCGACCACCACCCGACGAAAAACAACAACAAGUGCUUCGAGUUCUAGAACUUCCCUUCGUAGUGUGUUUGGGUAUGCGUUUCUAUUAGAAAUUUCCUCUUCUCUUCUUUUGUUUCCACUAGUUCUUCUUGUCCCUAGGUGCUACCCUCCUACUUAAACUCAAACAAACACUCCUUGGUGGAUGUUUACUAUUCAACGUACAACUUCAGGAUUCAUUUCGACCUUUUUUUCCUUAUAACGUACCCUUCCUUCGGAACCCGAUGUAACUAUAUCGGGACCGUCUGCAAUAGUCGUUGUUCGCCUAAUUGCUCUUCAAGGUAGAGUAACUGAGCUUUUUACCCGUCUAAGUUUAGCUCAACGUCACCUCUUGAAGUAUCUUCGAGACUCGUUCCACGGUUUUACGCGACCGUAGUGUUCCAUGUCCUCCCAAGUACGGUACUUCGUCGAACGUUUAUGGACAUUACCUAAGGUACAUCUAUAACGAAGCAGAGAUCUUGUAGAUGAACUAGAAACAGCUCUAAAAGACAGUUAAUAAGCUUAAAAAGAAGUCUUGUUGCGUCCGAACAAUAGCUGUUGUCUUUGUCUUAAUGCUGAAGAAACACCACUGUCCCAAAAGAGCGGGAAUGUCUAUACGAAUACCAAACUUGUCUAAUUUUCAAAAUAAACAAGAUAAAAUACAAUGUAACGUGUUUUGUGGUCCCAAACUGUAGAUAUCACGUGUCGUUCACCAUGUUUCGCGUCGUGUACGUGCAAACCUUAUAGACCACAAGCUGCGUCUAAACGAUUGCGACAAAAAGACACGUUAAACACAUUUAAAUCCACCGCGCUUGACUCCCUAAAUUAUGAUUAGACUCCUACCUAAUGUAGACGGGUUUAAGAGUCUAACGAGGAGGUGAAGAUUUCCAACUUAAGAUCCGGCAAACAGUCGUUCAAGUCUAAUGUAGACCACAAGCUAUCCCAAUUUCCAAAAAGGUUGCACGGGUGUACGACGGUGUCUCAAGAGUAGUCAUCAAAGGGUUCGUCCAAAAGUUGUCAUCAAAGAGGUAGUUCAGGUCUAACUUAAGAUCCGGCAAACAGUCUUUCAGGUCUAACCUAAGAUCCGGCAAACAAUCACCUUCCCCGUAAAGACAGUACAACGUGUAAUUGUCCACGAGAAAAGAAAUCCUCCUAAAGAGUGUGAACUAGUUAAAGGUUCGCAUUCAACACUUCCUGCCAGUUUAACUCGUAGAAGGGUCGGGAGAGUGCGGUAGUUUGAAAGAUCGGCGGACUAAAUCGCAGGAUUAAAAGGACAGGCAGGUUAAAAAAAACCUCUGUAAGACAGGCACACUACCGAAGGAGUAGGACACUAAUUGUCAGUUGUGAAAUAUGUUACGUUUUACGAAUACCUCAACGGACUAUUUUAUUUAACUCAAAAACAGAGCACAUUGUCUUUACGAAUUAAACAGAGCACAUUGUCUAUACGUAUUAAUUCGUAGAGGACAGAUGUUUAUUCGUAGCCACGAAUUUUUUUGUGAAAUAAAAAAUUGGUGGAACGCAACAUAUUCGGAUACAAGAAAAAAGAAAUCAGUGUAGUAGGAAAUAAUUAAACGUUUCCAAGUAUCCUUAUGUUUAUUAGAGCCCGUUUAUAUUCUCACCUACGGCGAAACCGCUCCAACAUUAGAACCCGUUGGCUACGUUAUAAUCGG
rnacentral:rRNA from 1 species